CUGACGCGCAGUGCCAGACCUUACCCCUCACGGUCCUUAAGUCUCGGUCGCCCUCGCCUCGCAGCCUGCCACCCGCGCUCAGCUGCCCGCCUCCUCAGCCAGCCAUGCUGGAGCAUCUGAGCUCGCUGCCCACGCAGAUGGUGAGGGCGCAACCCGGGGACCUCUGCACGCCGUUCUUGUGCCUGGCAGCUUCGAAGCCCAUGUUGGAGCACCGACCCGGAUUACAAGGGCCAGAAGCUAGCUGAACAGAUGUUUCAGGGAAUUAUUCUUUUUUCUGCAAUAGUUGGAUUUAUCUACGGGUACGUGGCUGAACAGUUCGGGUGGACUGUCUAUAUAGUUAUGGCCGGAUUUGCUUUUUCAUGUUUGCUGACACUUCCUCCAUGGCCCAUCUAUCGCCGGCAUCCUCUCAAGUGGUUACCUGUUCAAGAAUCAAGCACAGACGACAAGAAACCAGGGGAAAGAAAAAUUAAGAGGCAUGCUAAAAAUAAUUGAGGUUUUCAUGAUUCAGCACCUGCUUUUGUUUCUGUGAGAUGAGCUAAAUUGCUUUCAUACCCCAGAUAAGAGCUAAAACCACCUAAUGCUCUUAUGGCACAGCUGUGUAUAGAUUUAGUUCUCUUUAUACUUCAUUUCUAGCCCAGUUGGGUUUUGAUUUAUAUAAGUAGUUUAGACCUUCUCUUCAUAAUCUUGCUCUGAGAUGGG
rnacentral:lncRNA from 1 species